CGCCAGACUCCUACGGGAGGCAGCAGUCGGGAAUAUUGCGCAAUGGAGGAAACUCUGACGCAGUGACGCCGCGUAUAGGAAGAAGGUUUUCGGAUUGUAAACUAUUGUCGUUAGGGAAGAUAAAAGACUGUACCUAAGGAGGAAGCCCCGGCUAACUACGUGCCAGCAGCCGCGGUAAUACGUAGGGGGCAAGCGUUAUCCGGAUUUACUGGGUGUAAAGGGAGCGUAGACGGCAAUACAAGUCGGAAGUGAAAUACCCGGGCUCAACCUGGGAACUGCUUUGGAAACUGUAUGGCUAGAGUGCUGGAGAGGUAAGCGGAAUUCCUAGUGUAGCGGUGAAAUGCGUAGAUAUUAGGAGGAACACCAGUGGCGAAGGCGGCUUACUGGACAGUAACUGACGUUGAGGCUCGAAAGCGUGGGGAGCAAACAGGAUUAGAUACCCCGGUA
rnacentral:rRNA from 1 species